rnacentral:rRNA from 3 species
ACCUUGAAAUACCACCCUUGUAGUUUUGAUGUUCUAACGUUGGCCCCUAAUCGGGGUUGCGGACAGUGCCUGGUGGGUAGUUUGACUGGGGCGGUCUCCUCCCAAAGAGUAACGGAGGAGCACGAAGGUGGGCUAAUCACGGUUGGACAUCGUGAGGUUAGUGCAAUGGCAUAAGCCCGCUUAACUGCGAGAAUGACGGUUCGAGCAGGUGCGAAAGCAGGUCAUAGUGAUCCGGUGGUUCUGAAUGGAAGGGCCAUCGCUCAACGGAUAAAAGGUACUCCGGGGAUAACAGGCUGAUACCGCCCAAGAGUUCAUAUCGACGGCGGUGUUUGGCACCUCGAUGUCGGCUCAUCACAUCCUGGGGCUGAAGUCGGUCCCAAGGGUAUGGCUGUUCGCCAUUUAAAGUGGUACGCGAGCUGGGUUUAGAACGUCGUGAGACAGUUCGGUCCCUAUCUGCCGUGGGCGUUGGAGAAUUGAAGGGGGCUGCUCCUAGUACGAGAGGACCGGAGUGGACGAACCUCUGGUGUUCGGGUUGUCACGCCAGUGGCAUUGCCCGGUAGCUAAGUUCGGAAUUGAUAAGCGCUGAAAGCAUCUAAGCGCGAAGCGAGCCCUGAGAUGAGUUCUCCCUGGCACUAUAAGUGUCCUAAAGGGUUGUUCGAGACUAGAACGUUGAUAGGCAGGGUGUGUAAGCGCUGUGAGGCGUUGAGCUAACCUGUACUAAUUGCCCGUGAGGCUUAACCAUACAACACCCAAGGGGUUU